UACGUAGGGGGCUAGCGUUGUCCGGAAUCAUUGGGCGUAAAGAGCGUGUAGGCGGCCCGGUAAGUCCGCUGUGAAAGUCGGGGGCUCAACCCUCGAAUGCCGGUGGAUACUGUCGGGCUAGAGUGCGGAAGAGGCGAGUGGAAUUCCUGGUGUAGCGGUGAAAUGCGCAGAUAUCAGGAGGAACACCGGUGGCGAAGGCGGGUCUCUGGGCCGUAACUGACGCUGAGGAGCGAAAGCAUGGGGAGCGAACAGG
rnacentral:rRNA from 1 species